AGUGAACGCUGGCGGUAGGCCUAACACAUGCAAGUCGAACGGCAGCACAGUAAGAGCUUGCUCUUACGGGUGGCGAGUGGCGGACGGGUGAGGAUACAUCGGAAUCUACUUUUUCGUGGGGGAUAACGUAGGGAAACUUACGCUAAUACCGCAUACGACCUACGGGUGAAAGCAGGGGAUCUUCGGACCUUGCGCGAUUGAAUGAGCCGAUGUCGGAUUAGCUAGUUGGCGGGGUAAAGGCCCACCAAGGCGACGAUCCGUAGCUGGUCUGAGAGGAUGAUCAGCCACACUGGAACUGAGACACGGUCCAGACUCCUACGGGAGGCAGCAGUGGGGAAUAUUGGACAAUGGGCGCAAGCCUGAUCCAGCCAUACCGCGUGGGUGAAGAAGGCCUUCGGGUUGUAAAGCCCUUUUGUUGGGAAAGAAAAGCAGCAGGUUAAUACCCCGCUGUUCUGACGGUACCCAAAGAAUAAGCACCGGCUAACUUCGUG
rnacentral:rRNA from 1 species